GAAUGAAGGAGAGCUGGGAGGCUGUCAGCAGCCUUGUUACUGCUCCUGGCACGGCUGCCUGCUGUGAUCCCGCACUGAAAAGCACAUCUUCUGGAAUUUUAGGUGGCAUCUGCAGAAAAUGCCCCAAGGCACAAUGGACGAGAUGCCCAGAACUAAUUAUCUGCCACACAGGGGGAAAUUUGCAGCAGUUCCAUUUUGAAUGGAAGAACGUCUAUGGCAAAGUCAGCAGGGAGGACCCUCAGAGCUGCUGCAGUUGUGUUCUGCCUGAAGGGAAAACUCCUGCAUUCACUGAACAUCCUGGCACUCAAAGGCCUGCUGGAAAGCUGACAAAAAGUUGUCAUGGAAACCACUAACACCUAGAUAUGAGUGAAAAAGAAGCUUUCAUUCAGAGACCACAAUUAUUUGCAAAAGAAUCUAGACUGGAGGUUGAGGACCUGCUGCAGCAGUGCACUGAAGGACUUGUUCAAGUUCCAGCUGGCAGCAAUCCUUUUGAAAUCUGAAGAUUAAACCAGUGGGGGGCAGCACAAUCACUGUUGUCUCUGUUAGCCAGGUCUUCAGCAGGAAGAGGGAAGAACAUAUUUCUGGAGGCUCUGGAGCAGAUUCAUGGAUUCUGGAGUAUUUUCUUCUCCCCAGACAUCAUUCCA